CGAUCUGCGGCGGGAGAGCCCUGCCGGUACGUUCAGCAGGCGCCGUAGGAGCAAACCCUCCCCAGGAAACUCUCAGGCCCACGUACCGCCGCGGCGAG
rfam:Arthrobacter globiformis NBRC 12137 DNA, contig: ARGLB094.